GCCUGAGUGGGAUUGUGGUUUGAGUGUUGGACAAUGACUUUGGAGACCAGGGUUCAAUUCCCAGCUUGGUCA